rnacentral:rRNA from 1 species
GAUGAACGCUGGCGGCGUGCCUAAUACAUGCAAGUCGAGCGAACGGACGAGAAGCUUGCUUCUCUGAUGCUAGCGGCGGACGGGUGAGUAACACGUGGAUAACCUACCUAUAAGACUGGGAUAACUUCGGGAAACCGGAGCUAAUACCGGAUGAUAUUUUGAACCGCAUGGUUCAAAAGUGAAAGACGGUCUUGCUGUCACUUAUAGAUGGAUCCGCGCUGCAUUAGCUAGUUGGUAAGGUAACGGCUUACCAAGGCAACGAUGCAUAGCCGACCUGAGAGGGUGGUCGGCCACACUGGAACUGAGACACGGUCCAGACUCCUACGGGAGGCAGCAGUAGGGAAUCUUCCGCAAUGGGCGAAAGCCUGACGGAGCAACGCCGCGUGAGUGAUGAAGGUCUUCGGAUCGUAAAACUCUGUUAUUAGGGAAGAACAUAUGUGUAAGUAACUGUGCACAUCUUGACGGUACCUAAUCAGAAAGCCACGGCUAACUACGUG